rnacentral:rRNA from 1 species
AGGGUUUGAUUAUGGCUCAGAACGAACGCUGGCGGCAUGCCUCAUACAUGCAAGUCGAACGAGGUCUUCGGACCUAGUGGCGCACGGGUGAGUAACAUGUGGGAAUCUACCUGAAGGUUCGGAAUAACUGCGGGAAACUGUAGCUAAUACCGGAUGUGUCUGCAAAGAGAAAGAUUUAUCGCCUUCAGAUGAGCCCGCACUAGAUUAGCUAGUUGGUGAGGUAAUUGCUCCACCAAGGCUACGAUCUAUAGCUGAUUUGAGAGGAUGAUCAGCCACACUGGGACUGAGACACGGCCCAGACUCCUACGGGAGGCAGCAGUAGGGAAUAUUGGACAAUGGGGGAAACCCUGAUCCAGCAAUGCCGCGUGAGUGAAGAAGGCCUUCGGGUUGUAAAGCUCUUUCAUCAAUGAUGAUAAUGACAUUAGUUGAAGAAGAAGCCCCGGCUAACUUCGUGCCAGCAGCCGCGGUAAUAC